GAUGAACGCUGGCGGCGUGCCUAACACAUGCAAGUCGAACGGAGUCCCGCCUUUAAGACCUUCGGGUCAAAGAGGGGAAGACUGAGUGGCGGACGGGUGAGUAACACGUGGGCAACCUGGCUCAUAGAGGGGGAUAACAGAGAGAAAUUUCUGCUAAUACCGCAUAAGCACACACUGCCGCAUGGCAGAGGGUGAAAAGAGAAUCGCUAUGAGAUGGACCCGCGUCUGAUUAGCCAGUUGGCAGGGUAAGAGCCUACCAAAGCGACGAUCAGUAGCCGAUAUGGAGGGAUGAACGGCAACAUUGGGACUGGGACCAGGCCCGAACCCCUAGGGGGGGGAGAAGGGGGGGAUAUGGAACAAUGGGGGGAACCCUAAGGCAGCGGCGCCGGGGAAGUGAAGAAGUAUUUCGGUAUGAAAAGCUUUAUCAGCAGGGAAGAAAAGAACGUACCCAAAAAAAGAAGCCCCGCUAACCUACGG
rnacentral:rRNA from 1 species